GUGGAUGCCUAGGCGAUCAGAGGCGAUGAAGGACGUGGACAGCUGCGAAAAGCUCCGGGGAACCGCUAACAGGUUUUGAUCCGGAGAUCUCCGAAUGGGGCAACCCGCGCAGGGACUACCUGCCAACCCACGGUGAAUACAUAACCAUGCGGUAGCCAAGCCAGGGAACUGAAACAUCUAAGUACCUGGACGAAAAGAAAGCAAAAGCGACUCCCUUAGUAGCGGUGAGCGAAGAGGGACCAGCCUAAAACCAUCUCAGUGCAAGCUUACUGGCGUUGCUGAGAUGGGGUCGUGGGGAUCUCGUAGGAGGAACAGUAAGUCCUCCGCUGAGUAAGAAAACGUAAGGUUAGCAGAACGGCAUUGGAGGGCCGGCCACAGAGGGUGAUAGCCCCUUAUGCGACAACCAAGCGUCUCAGUCGAGACACCCGAGUACCGCAGGACACGUGUAAUCCAGCGGGAAUCUGGGAGGACCAUCUCCCAAGGCCUAAGUACUACUGAUCGACCGAUAGUGAACUAGUACCGCGAGGGAAAGGUAG
rnacentral:rRNA from 1 species